AACGAACGCUGGCGGCAGGCCUAACACAUGCAAGUCGAACGCUCCGCAAGGGGAGUGGCAGACGGGUGAGUAACGCGUGGGAACCUACCUCAAGGUGCGGGACAACCAAGGGAAACUUUGGCUAAUACCGCAUGUGCCCGAGAGGGGAAAGAUUCAUCGCCUUGGGAUGGGCCCGCGUAGGAUUAGCUAGUUGGUGAGGUAAUGGCUCACCAAGGCGACGAUCCUUAGCUGGUCUGAGAGGAUGACCAGCCACACUGGGACUGAGACACGGCCCAGACUCCUACGGGAGGCAGCAGUGGGGAAUAUUGGACAAUGGGCGCAAGCCUGAUCCAGCCAUGCCGCGUGUGUGAUGAAGGCCUUAGGGUUGUAAAGCACUUUCGCCGAUGAAGAUAAUGACGGUAGUCGGAGAAGAAGCCCCGGCUAACUUCGUGCCAGCCGCCGCCGUAACAC
rnacentral:rRNA from 1 species